rnacentral:rRNA from 1 species
GUCUCCUACGGGACGCAGCAGUGGGGAAUAUUGCACAAUGGGGGGAACCCUGAUGCAGCGAUGCCGCGUGAAGGAAGAAGAUUUUCGGAUCGUAAACUUCUAUCGGCAAGGAAGAAAAAGGACAGUACUUGACUAAGCAGCCCCGGCUAACUACGUGCCAGCAGCCGCGGUAAUACGUAGGGGGCAAGCGUUAUCCGGAAUUACUGGGUGUAAAGGGAGCGUAGACGGCAGUGCAAGUCUGAAGUGAAAGGCAAGGGCUCAACCCUUGGACUGCUUUGGAAACUGUGCUGCUCGAGUGUCGGAGG